rnacentral:rRNA from 1 species
UACGUAGGGUGCGAGCGUUGCCCGGAUUUAUUGGGCGUAAAGGGCGCGUAGGCGGCCACGCACGUCCGUUGUGAAAUCGCCCGGCUCAACUGGGCGGGGUCGGCGGAUACGGCGUGGCUGGAGCAAGCUAGGGGGCAAUGGAAUUCCCGGUGUAGUGGUGGAAUGCGUAGAUAUCGGGAGGAACACCAGUGGCGAAGGCGGCGAUCUGGGCAGACACUGACGCUGAGGUGCGAAAGCGUGGGGAGCAAACAGG